rnacentral:rRNA from 1 species
AGAGUUUGGUAGUCCUCGGCGUCAGGAUGAACGCUGGCGGCGUGCCUAACACAUGCAAGUCGAACGAAGCCGUGCCGACGGAACUCUUCGGAGGGAAGACGGCGCGGACUUAGUGGCGGACGGGUGAGUAACGCGUGGGUAACCUGCCCUGUACAGGGGGACAACAGCCGGAAACGGCUGCUAAUACCGCAUAAGCCUGCGGGGCCGCAUGGCCCGGCAGGAAAAGCUGCGGCGGUACAGGAUGGGCCCGCGUCUGAUUAGCCAGUUGGCGGGGUAACGGCCCACCAAAGCAACGAUCAGUAGCCGGCUUGAGAGAGCGAACGGCCACAUUGGGACUGAGACACGGCCCAAACUCCUACGGGAGGCAGCAGUGGGGAAUAUUGCACAAUGGGGGGAACCCUGAUGCAGCAACGCCGCGUGAGUGAAGAAGUACCUCGGUAUGUAAAGCUCUAUCAGCAGGGAAGAAAAUGACGAUACCUGACCAAGAAGCACCGGCUAAAUACGUG